AUUGAACGCUGGCGGCAGGCCUAACACAUGCAAGUCGAACGGUAACAGGAAACAGCUUGCUGUUUCGCUGACGAGUGGCGGACGGGUGAGUAAUGUCUGGGAAACUGCCUGAUGGAGGGGGAUAACUACUGGAAACGGUAGCUAAUACCGCAUAACGUCGCAAGACCAAAGAGGGGGACCUUCGGGCCUCUUGCCAUCGGAUGUGCCCAGAUGGGAUUAGCUAGUAGGUGGGGUAACGGCUCACCUAGGCGACGAUCCCUAGCUGGUCUGAGAGGAUGACCAGCCACACUGGAACUGAGACACGGUCCAGACUCCUACGGGAGGCAGCAGUGGGGAAUAUUGCACAAUGGGCGCAAGCCUGAUGCAGCCAUGCCGCGUGUAUGAAGAA
rnacentral:rRNA from 1 species